ACCCUGUCGUCGAAAGCCCCUCGGCCCAAUCCAAUCGCCCGCACUCCACAACCCUCCCUUCCUCCUCGAUCUCUCUCCCUCAGCCACCACAAACCCUAGGUCCUCCCCUUCUACCCUACUCUCCACCGCGCCGCCUCCUCCUCCCCUUCACCAUUCCCUCCAGCGGCAGGCACAGGGAGACGACGACGGCGCUCGAUUUGAGCCGCCCCGCUCCCCUCCCUCUCCACUGCGCCUCGGCCUCGGCCGCCCCGUGCUCUGCCGGCGCCCGUCGGCCUCGAUCCGGCCUUGGCAGGAGGAGCUCGCCCUCGAGACAGGAGGAGGGGAGCAGGAGGAUACAGGAGCAUGGCCUUCUUCUCGCGCUGCAGCCACCGGCCUUGUCCUGCUCGAGGAGGAGGAGCAGCAGGAGGGGCGCACCCAGCCACCAAGGUAGCCUUCGUCGAGGGCUUCUUACACCUGAACCUCGAUCUCCACGGUGCUGGCGUCCAGCAACUCAAGUUCAAGGGAAGGAGAGGAUGAUGACGCCCAGACAUGGAGAGGAACAACAGCAGCUCAAGAUGCUAAUGUGGCUGCCAUAUCUGUGCCAAGCAGUGCCUGCUUAUAAAGUGGUGAAGCUACAGGGAAGAGGGAGGAAGUCGGCGACAGGGUGAAGGAGCAGGCCGGCCCUCAUGGAGGCAGCGCUACCAGCCAGCUAGGGAGGCGGUCCGGCUCACCUCUGCUAUGCCAUGAGCGGCGGCGCUACCUCUGCCUCCAGUCUCACCUCCUCUGCCAACCAUUGGAAAAUUUAGGGGAGACCCAAGGCGAGCUUCCCCUCUGUUGCAUGCACUCCUGAUCUCUAAAGAUUUCUGUAGCCUAAAUGCCUAUGUACCAUAAUAAUAAUUCAAGCGGAUGGCCAAUGCACCUUGGUGUUUAGCAGUAUGAUGGUCGGUGAAAGUAUGUUAUAUAUAUAUAUUGCAAGGAUCAUAAGAUGCUUUUACACAUGAUUGUGUGAUGCUCAGAGACAUUUCGCACAGUAGAAACUUCUUGUGAAGCUUGAUUUUAUUCAGGUGCCUAACUGACUACCACUUCCUCGGCGUUUGUGCUUACCAGCAUGCUGUAAACUUCUUGUGAAGCUCGCUGUUUCAUGUGCCUAACUGACUGCCACUUUCCAUAAUCAUGCUUAUUUGCAUCCAGAUGGUGAUUUUGGGCUGAAAGAUUAUUGCAAGCUUAGAAUCUUUUAAAUGCCCUUAUUGACAUGAUUUGUAUGAUAAACUUCCAAAAUAUUCAUUUAACAUUGCUAUUUUUCUUCAGAGCCAUAUGAAUUUUUUUAUAGAAACAUGUGCAGAGUAAAAUGGACACAUCUUCUGGUACAUCUGAGGACAGUGUGAUUUAUUUUCAUAGAAUGUUGUCAUCUAUAUCUUGCUGAAGUACAGAACUAUUGGUCAGUUAAUUCUCUCACUCAUCAAUUUACAAAUUCAGUACUCCCUUUGUAAACAAAUAUAGGAGUGUUUAGAUCACUAUUUUAGUGAUCUAAACGCUCUUAUAUUAAUUUACGGAGGGACUAUUUUAUUUCACAUGGGGCUUGGCUGGUUUACGUUUAAUUCAUGCAUCAUAUAUGGUUGUUUAGUUCAGACUUGUGCAUGUGCAUGCAUUGGAAUUGAUUUAACAAAGAUAUAGCAUGAUUAUGUACAUAAAAAUAGUAUGAGUAUGCAUGAUCUAUGAAUAAAUGCUCGGAUAUAGUUAGUCAUGAGAUAGUAGGAGUAUCAUGAGCUUACAACCUCUGGAUAUGAUUAAUACUUAAAUGGCAUGUAGUUGUUCAAAAAUCUGGAAUGUCUUUCGAGAACUGUUGAUCAGUGUUGCUAUAAGUAUUUCUCAGAGUUUUGGUUGCAUGGAUGUACAUUAGAGUAGCAGAGGUUCUUAUUUUACUUUGUCCAGAAGAGGGGCUUUUACUUAUUUUUGUUCACAAUUUUUAUCUAACUUUCUAUCAGCACCAACGACCACAAUGGGAUGGAUCAAGCAGCCAAGACUUAGAGUGUGGUCGGGCAGCGCCAUGGGGCAGAUCUGUGCGGCGCAAGGGGCGGCAGAUGCGAAACUGAAGCUUCCCUGAACUUCGGAGCAGUCAAUUGAGAAGAUGGACACGACGAGUGAGGAUUGGUGCUACCGCCCCUGGUAGGAGCCCAAUGUCCUAAUCGAACUACUGUCAUGGAGAGGGCAAUACGUGGAUUUGCUUCAGAUAUUGGAGACAACGCCAUUGUGCCGAAGCUCGGAACAAUCUUCAAUACAUUGAGUGAAGCAUACGAUUUUUACAAUCUGUAUUUAUGGGAGAAAGGAUUUGGCAUUCGAUAUGGUAAAAGCUGUCUGAAUGUUGAGAGGACGUGGAAAUCUAUUGUGGAUAAUACUGGUCUUGCCGGCGUUAGUGCCCUACUCUGAUAAGGCUGCUGCAGUCUGAACCAUUCAUUGUAUCACACGUAUGCGCAGACGAUACACUGACGAUCGCACAAGCACAUCAACGUGCACAGCAGGGAUUUGAUGAAGAAUUUGAGGCAGAACAAUGUGAACCUUGCUAAAGUGCACAACAUUAGGCAGUUUCCUUGGGUCGAUGGAGAAUGUGCCUUUCACAAAAAGAGCUUCAAGGAGCUUGUGUGGCAAAAUAAGCUGCGAGCAACCGGCUGAUGAUGUUAGUUAAACGAUGGAGGUGUUUGCGGAGCUUGGUUCAAAGGAUCCUCACUUCACAUAUCAUGUACAGGCCGAUAAGGAGGGAAGGAUAAACGCACUCGUGUGGGCAAAUGGGGACAGUAGGCUGGUGCAAAAAAGACUGUAGCUUAUUCUCAAAUUUUCUGUCUCUAAUACUGAAUUUGGUGUGUACCGAUAAAUCAUGUAGCGUGUGAGAUCCAUCAUGCAGUUUAACUGCUAAUCCCAAUUAUGUUAUGCAUGCCCUGAAGCUGA